rnacentral:rRNA from 1 species
GACGAACGCUGGCGGCGUGCUUAACACAUGCAAGUCGUACGGUAAGGCCCUUUCGGGGGUACACGAGUGGCGAACGGGUGAGUAACACGUGAGUAACCUGCCCACAACUUUGGGAUAACGCUAGGAAACUGGUGCUAAUACUGGAUAUGUGCUCCUGCUGCAUGGUGGGGGUUGGAAAGCUCCGGCGGUUGUGGAUGGACUCGCGGCCUAUCAGCUUGUUGGUGGGGUAGUGGCCUGCCAAGGCGGCGACGGGUAGCCGGCCUGAGAGGGUGACCGGCCACAUUGGGACUGAGAUACGGCCCAGACUCCUACGGGAGGCAGCAGUGGGGAAUAUUGCACAAUGGGCGCAAGCCUGAUGCAGCAACGCCGCGUGCGGGAUGACGGCCUUCGGGUUGUAAACCGCUUUCAGCAGGGACGAAGCUUUUUGUGACGGUACCUGCAGAAGAAGCACCGGCUAACUACGU